rnacentral:rRNA from 1 species
UACGGAGGGUGCGAGCGUUGUCCGGAAUCACUGGGCGUAAAGGGUGCGUAGGCGGGUCUUUAAGUCAGGGGUGAAAUCCUGGAGCUCAACUCCAGAACUGCCUUUGAUACUGAAGAUCUUGAGUUCGGGAGAGGUGAGUGGAACUGCGAGUGUAGAGGUGAAAUUCGUAGAUAUUCGCAAGAACACCAGUGGCGAAGGCGGCUCACUGGCCCGAUACUGACGCUGAGGUGCGAAAGCGUGGGGAGCAAACAGG